rnacentral:lncRNA from 1 species
CAAAUAGUUUGAUUAUAUAAAUAAUAAUAAAAAAAAAGAGAUUUAUAAAUGUGAAAAAGGUUGCAAUAAAGUAAUAUAAUACUAGAAUAUUUAAUGCAUACACACACAACAAAACUAGGCUGAGAGUUUUAAAGCCAGGGAGAAAAAGACACGCAGGUAAACAGAUUUAUGAAAUAUUCCUUUAUUUGUAGUUUGUAAAGGUCCAAUCGAUUUCAGUAGGAUAUAGCCUACUUAUCUCUCUCGUUUUUUUUUGAUUGGAGGAGUGGCCAGCGUGGUUAUACUGCUUUUUGUCUACUACUAUAAUGGAUUUUAAGAAUGGACGUUGAAUUCAAAACCUUCCACAGACUCAAAAAAUGUAUUCACAAAUAAAAAAAAAUGACUUUCUAAAUUUGAAGUGGUCCUCACAAUAUGAGAAGUUCAUGAAUCAGUCAUAUCAUGUUUUGCAUGAAAUAUUUCGAUAUCAACUAGUUUGUAUGGGUUAAAGGUACCAUUGAGGUUUGAGCUUAGCAAGUGCCAUCCCUGCUAUAUAUAAACCACUGAGUCUAUGAGAUGUUCUUAUUAAUAGAGUGAAACCAACGUGAUUGUGUUGGUGCUUGAUCAUGUACACUAUCCACCGGAAAUGUUACAGCUGUCACUCAUCUUACAGCUCUCACAUAUUUAGUGAUGAGGUAAAGUUAGUUUUUCACUUAUGACUUUCCUUUUCAUCCCAACCUUAACUGGUAAGGGCGGUAGCAGAUAAUAAUGUUUGCCCUGCCUUCCUUAUCUUUCAAAUACACUCUUUUUUUACGUGACUCUUGUAGCAAACCAACUAUUGCAAACAUUAAGAUAUCCAUCAUUUGCAUGCACAACUUAGGGAUUCAUAAUCACUGAUGAAUGUAUUUGGUAGAAAGAAGCAAACAACAGUUUUAGUGAGAGGAGAGGAAGCUCAGCAGGAGGGGCUUCAGGGAGGGAAGCAUGAGAUGUCACUCAACAGAAUCACACCUUUGGCGUUCGCUGUAGUGCAGGGCCGGUGUUAUGUGCAGAUGAGCAUUCGAAGCUUGGAAACCUUUUAGAGGUGGCAAAGCAAUGCAGAGGUGACAGGUAAGAGAUCCUCGUGGGUUUAAAACUUUGUUUGCUUUGUUCAGUUACCAUAAAGAGUUUGGAAAUGAGAGUUUUGAAACUGCCACAUCAUGUUUACUCUGAUAGUAUAGUAGUUUUGGAGAUCAAAUGCCGUGACAUGUAUUCAUGUAACUAAUAAUGAUGGAAGUGUACUGUAGCAUUCCUUAUUGAUUUAACUAUUGGUCAGUUUAAAAAAAUAGACUUUGUGUGUAACCUACAUUAUUUAUUGUUUUUUAUUUUUUAUUUUGGGGGGGGGGGGUUGUAAGUUUUUUAUCAUGACAAACACAAAUAUAUAUAUCUAUAAGCACAUCAGUCAGCUAGCCUGCUAUUUGUGAAUAUAGUGUGACUUCACAAAUGCUUGAAAGACUAAAAGUGUGUGUUUUGCACUUUUUAGUUUUUCAACUGCUUUUAUUCAUUAAAUUUUAAAGGAUAGUCAAAUAAUAAUUUUAAGCCCCAGAAAUUUUGGAAGUUAGAUCUUUCUGUCCUUUAAUUCUUUUCAGCUUGGGGUAAAUGAGUUUGUUCUGCUUUGGCUGAAAUGUUUCCCAAGAACCAUUUAAACCAAAUAUAGGACAGGCAAAUUGUAGGAUGAGAAUAGCAUACCAUACUUACAUAAAUCACCCUUAAAUCAGACAAACAAAUUCUAAUUUUAGCCUCAGGAAGUGGAUGGGUUUCACUCUAUUCGUUUUAAUAGAGCACUUCCUCGUCAGCUGGAGGGUUACCAUAGUGAUCCAGCCCAGAUUGAGUGCAGCAUGGUUUCUGUGGUAGCAUAAAACGAAACGCUGAUGAUGUUUCGGUAUGUGUUGAGUUCAUAAAAUAAAAAAAACUACAGAGGAUGCCACUACGGAAACUGAAAUGCAAUUUAACAUCUUCUCAUUUAAAGAUAAAUUUUGUGAACUAAUAUUAACUAUACACUUUUCUUGGAAUGUAAAAACAACAACAACAACAAAAAAAUUGUUAUAUAUAUGCGUUGUUAAACUCACUAAAGGGAGGAAUCCCGUAUGCCAAAAAAAUAAAUAAGUAAUUAAUUAAUUAAUUAUAAAUUUAAUAAAAAAAUCAUACACAGUGAAGCUCAUUGAAAUAUACUUUGAAAUAAAAGAUAUAUUUACUUUCAAACUUCAUAUACCAAAAUAUAUUUCUAAAUAUUUUUUGUGGCAA